rnacentral:tRNA from 1 species
GGAACAGUGGUGCAGUGGGUAGCACUGUCGCCCCACAGAAGAAGGUUGUGGGUUCAAUUCCAACCUGGGCCU